AGACGAACCGUCCAAACGUUAUUCGGAAUCACUGGGCUUAAAGGGUGCGUAGGCGGCGUAGUAAGUUGGGUGUGAAAUCCCUCGGCUCAACCGAGGAACUGCGCCCAAUACUGCUAUGCUCGAGGGAGACAGAGGAAAGCGGAACUGAUGGUGGAGCGGUGAAAUGCGUUGAUAUCAUCAGGAACACCGGUGGCGAAAGCGGCUUUCUGGGUCUCUUCUGACGCUGAGGCACGAAAGCUAGGGUAGCGAACGGGAUUAGAAACCCCGGUAGUCC
rnacentral:rRNA from 1 species